rnacentral:rRNA from 1 species
CCGCGGUAUCCUGACCGUGCAAAGGUAGCGCAAUCAAUUGUCCCAUAAAUCGAGACUAGUAUGAAUGGCUAAACGAGGUCUUAACUGUCUCUUACAGGCAAUCGGUGAAAUUGAUCUCCCUGUACAAAAGCAGGGAUGAGCCCAUAAGACGAGAAGACCCUGUGGAACUUCAAAACCAGCGACCACCUUAAAUCACACACUCACCCACCGGGUUCACUAACACAUAAGCCACUGGUCCGCGUUUUUCGGUUGGGGCGACCUUGGAGCAAAACAAAACCUCCAAAAAUUAGACCACACCUCUAGACUGAGAGCGACUCCUCAACGUGCUAAUAGCACCCAGACCCAAUAUAAUUGAUCAAUGGACCAAGCUACCCCAGGGAUAACAGCGCAAUCUCCCCCGAGAGUCCGUAUUGACGGGGAGGUUUACGACCUCGAUGUUGGAUCAGGACAUCCUAGUGGUGCAGCCGCUACUA